GAUGAACGCUGGCGGCGCGCCUAACACAUGCAAGUCGAACGAGCGAGAGAGAGCUUGCUUUCUCGAGCGAGUGGCGAACGGGUGAGUAACGCGUGGGUAACCUGCCUCACACAGGGGGAUAACAGUUGGAAACGGCUGCUAAUACCGCAUAAGCGCACAGUAUCGCAUGGUACGGUGUGAAAAACUCCGGUGGUGUGAGAUGGACCCGCGUCUGAUUAGCUAGUUGGCAGGGCAACGGCCCACCAAGGCGACGAUCAGUAGCCGACCUGAGAGGGUGACCGGCCACAUUGGGACUGAGACACGGCCCAGACUCCUACGGGAGCAGCAGUGGGGAAUAUUGCACAAUGGAGGAAACUCUGAUGCAGCGACGCCGCGUGACGUGAAGAAGUAGUUCGCUAUGUAAAGCU
rnacentral:rRNA from 1 species